CUCUCCGCCGGAUCCCUGCCCUAUCCCGCCCGCUCCCCGCCCGAUCUCCGCCCGCUCCCCGCCGGAUCCCGCCAGCUUCCCGCCCGCCCCACGCCCGAUCCCGCUUGCUCCCCGCCCGCUCCCCGCUGCCAGCCCCCAGGCGCCCGCAGCCCGGGCCCCAGGCCACCGCCCUGUCCCCCGCGCCCCGCCCCUCCCUCCGCAGUCUGGGUAGACCCAGCCGGGCCCCCGCUCCCCGCCCCGAGCCGCGCCCCCGGGCCCCCCACGGCCAUCCCGCCCGCCGGCCUCGGGCUCCGCGUCCCUUCCGCUCCCAGCUCCCGGCUCACAGCCCGUCGCCCUGCUCCUCGGUCCCCGAGCAGCACCCAGCGCUGCCCAGCGCCCCUCCCCUCGCGGCCCGCACCCCCGUCCCGCACCGUCUGGCUCAGUCCGUCCCUACGUGUCCCCGCCCGCAACGCCCCGAGUCCCCCAGCGGCCGCUCGCGCUCCCCCACCUCCCGCCGCCCCUGCCCUCGGAGCAGCCCUCGGCGCCCCUCCCCGGGCCCGCGCCUCGCCCCGGCCGCGGUGCCCCCUCCGCAGGCCUCCCGCCGCCCUGCUCCUCUGGGUCCCUCCCGCCGCCCGCGCCCCUGGCCCCGCUCGCCGCCGCCCGCGCCCCGAUUCCCUCCGCGAGGGGAACCCGGGCCGCGCCCCUUACCUGGGACUCCGGGCGCGGGACGGGCGGCUGGCCGCCGGCAAAGCAGCGGGACCGCAGACCGGGCGGCCGGGGGCGCAGCGGGGCUCGCGGACCGGGCGGGGCGGGCGCCCACGGCGGCUACUUGGGGCUGAGGCGCCGGCGACUGCGCGGAGGCCCCGCCCACGGCCGCCCAGGCCCCGCCCACGGCCGCCCAGGCCCCGCCCACGGCCGCCCGAUGGGGGCGGAGCCCGCGUCCGUCCCGCCCCGCCCCAGGCUCGAGCUGCCGCCAGGUGUAGGAAAUCCGUGGUACCUUGGGCCCCCGCCCCCCACCCCGAGUUCGCCGAUAUCUGGGCCACUACUGUGAUUUGUCACGUCUCAUCCCGCAGACUGAACUUACGACGGUGA
rnacentral:lncRNA from 1 species